GCUGUAGCUCAGUGAUAGAGCACUAGCUCGGGCUUGCAGGAGAUCCCAGGUUCAACUCCUGGCAUCUCCA